ensembl:lncRNA
UUGUGAUUUUGGUCUAGAUAAAUGAGCAGUGGCAGAGCAUAUUGUCUGGACAAAAAAAAAAGUGUCGAUCCAAAUUCUGCUAUCAGGUAAUUGGAUCUGUGCUGUUUAUCCAGACCUGUGUGGGCAGAAGUUCAGGCUGCCUCUUUUGCAGAGAGGGCUGAGAAGAAAGCCUUACUGGUGGAGGACUUUGGAUUUCUGCUUCACUCUGGGCCAAUCUCUGCACACUCAGAUGAAUUUAUUUGCACCAGAGGCAGCAGCUCUCUCCCCUCAGCAACAGCACGUGGCUCUACAGAUGGGCCGCGUGUGUCAAUGUGGACCUAAGUGUGAAGUUUGAAAUGAUUUCCCCUCCUUCUUCCCUGACACAAAGGUCUCCUGGGGAGGAACUGGUUACCGAGUCGAAAAAAACGCUUGAAUCAGCAUGCUGUAAGUUGGUCAAAUGCAACUGAACUCUGUGUCCCCUAAACUAUACCUCUGCUCACUGAAAGCCGUUCAUAGCACUGUUCAGACAAAUGGCUGGUGACUGGUUUUCCACUCAUCUCUUGAAGAUAUCAGUAUCUAGAAGAUUCCUGUGAUCUGUUCAGCUUUGGAAGAAAAAGCACAGGAUUCCUGUGAGGCUGCAGGAAUUCAAGGCUGAGAGAAGAGGAAUCAGAGAGGAAGCCUCACAGUUAUGGAUCGGUCUGGUUCUCACUGGAUCUCAAAGGAAAAAGGUUUGCUGUUUCUGCUGAGAGUUGAGCCAUGUCCUUCUACUAGAUUUUUUUCCAAGUGCAAGCACUGGGCUCCAUGGUUUUCCUGAUGUCUUGUGUGAUGAGAAAUUGCUUGCAAAACAUUUGCCCUUGUAUGUCUACAGCCCAAGCUGGAAAGUUACACUGCAGUAUAUGGAAUGUGUGGGCUGGGGGCUGCCAACAGCUCUCUCUGCUUCCAUUGACCAAGGAGAUGUAUCUGGGAAAAAAAGAACAAAAAAAAGAAAAAGAAAAAGAAAAAGAAAAAAAAAAAAGGUGACAAAUGAAUCAAACUGAGGGAGGGCUUUACCUGGGAAAUAUAGCCCCAGGUUUUCCACAACUGAAGUAAUUUUCCAUGGUAAUUGGAGAAAGAACAUCAGCCAGCUACAGAAGUGUGAGAACCAUCUUCAUUUUUCAUUCCUGGCCAACUAUUUCUCUUGUUGUUUUUAUGGUCUCUGUGAGAGUAAUGUAGCCUGUGAGACCUCGGUUGCGUAGGUUUGCCAGAUACAGUUGAAGCCUACUCCAGGUAGGCACAUAUUGCAUGUACCAGAAGUGAGGAAAAACAUACUUGUUAAUAGCGCUGGUACAAAGGGGAGAAAUUAAUUUUGAACGUAUGAAGAUGCAGCAGAGGUGGGGGAGGAACAAACAACUGAAAUAGCGAUGCUUUUUGCAAGGAAGUGGAAAUCAUGUCAAAACUCUUGAGACCUGGGAAACAAAAUGUUAAACGUCUUACAGCAUUGAAGGCAAGACAAAAGGAAAUACAUUCAGCCCAAUCCUUAGCUCUGCUGCAUUACAGAAGGUGCAGGUUACUGUAAGUGCCUUCUCUGUUAAUUACUGUGACAGGUCUAUUUGUAAUGGGGUCCUCUUUUGUUGCUCCAGCAGCUGGGCAUUAGUCAGGUCAUGUGUGGCUGUGAGUGACAGCUGAUGCCUGCAUGAGGAGCAGCUGAACCACAGAAGGGCGAUGUUGGGUGCUUCGGUUGGCAUGUAGAUCAUGUCUGUCUUACUUGUUACGGCAAAUGUGACGUGUCCUCCUCAUCCUGCGCCCUGCUGCAUCAUGCUGCCUAUGCUCACUCAUUUUCAUGCAGAGUGAAAGUCACAGGCAAAAAGCUCAGCAAGCUGACACCUAACUCAAGUUUAGAUCUGAUGUGACAGAAACUUCCUGUUGUUGGUAUUGUUUCCAACUGUGAGUUCCAUUCUGCACCAUAAAUCGGGCUAAUGCCCAAUGAAAAUAAAGAUAACCCCUAUUCCAUGUUGUUCCCACUCUGAGAGAUACUGAUAGGUAUGGGAAUGCAAUAAGAGCUCAGAGUAGGAUGCAGGAGAUUCAAAGAAAAUAGAAAUACAGGACUCUUACUCAUAUGGAUCUGUAAAUAUUCACACUUAACAACUUCGUAUGUUGAAAUACGCAACCAAAUGUAAUAGGAAUGAUCAUUACAUACUCAAGUAUAGAUUUCUUAACCUGUCACUUAAAUAGGUGUAGAAUAGGUAUGAGCAGAAUUUUUCACAGUGAUCAGCUAUAGUGCUUCUCACUGAAAUUGGUGGGAGACUUUUGGUUUUGGUAUUUUGUGUUUGGUUUUGGUUUGUUUGUUUGUUCGUUUCAAUUGACUGCACUGGGAGCAGUUAGGCCAUUCUGAAUGGGUUUGAAUAAUCUGCCCUGUAAGUUCGGCAUGAGAGCAGACCUGGCCUGGCUGAAAGCAUUAUUUUCAGGUAAAUUCUGUAGCAAAUUCCGCUUACUCUCCAAAACAUAUACUGGAAGAAUAUAUACAGCCAGCUCUGAAGCUGAUCAAAUGCUCAGAAAAAUCCUCUAUCAAAUAAAUCUUGCAACAAAAAGCAGCAAAACUCCUGAAACAGUCAACUUGACAAAUAGUCUUCCAUCAGCCCUGCUGUGACUCAGUGUUUGAAGGAUCAGAGGGAAAAAAGUCCAUUUUAGAAGAGAGUAUAAAAUGAAAAAUAUGAUCUGAAUGAAGCACAUUUCCAGUGCGGUUGCUAAUGCUGCCCAUAGCCAGCAGCCCAGACUGGAUAAAGACACCUCCCAGCCUUUGUUAUUCCUGAAGGAUUUUGUGGCUCUUCCUGUUGAUCUGCGGCAGGUGGCUUGGUGACUCACGCCAGGGCCUCCCAGCCAAGAGCAGGAUCUCAGGGAAACAAGGUUUUUAAACACAGAUCACUACCAAAGGACCAAAGGGCAGGAGCCCCAAAGGAUGAUGCAAAGGGUGAUGUCCAUAGAAUGCUCAUUCAAUGGAAGGAUGCCAUACAGGGGUUGGCUGUGGAUCCACCAGUCAGGUGUUGCUCCUCUUGCCCCUGGUGCGUUGGUAUUCUGCUGGGGCAGUGCUAAUGUCUAGAUAGUACUUCCUGAAGCACAGCCUCCUUUUCAGUGCUUCCUCGUUUCAAGUAGAAUCUAAUUCAAGCAGUCCUGGUUACACAUCAGGCCUAAGUAUGUCAUUAUAUGUGCGGUUUCCAGCAAUUGUAAGCUAUGUUCUGUAAAGCUUUGUUGUGCAAUGAAGGUGACAGAAAAGGGAUUUUAACCAUUGCUUUUACGCUUCCGAGGACAGUGAUGCUUCUUGCCUUCAGCCAGGCUAUUCCAUCAAGAGAAAGUCAAAGACAAUGUGCCUUGUUUUAUUGAGUGCUUACUCCCUUCAUGAAUGUGAUUAGACCACUCCGUCUGGCACUGCAGCUUGUGCACUGCAUUGUCCCAGCUCUGCCAUUAUUCCUCCUUUCUUUGCCCAUCAAGAAACAAGAACAACUGGUCCAAAGGCACAACCAGCAUCCAUCUGCUAUUCCCAGUGCUCGUCGAACAUGAAAACAAAUCAUUUGCUUUGGUGUCCAAAGCACUGAAUGUCAGAACAUAACUCAGUCGAGUUGUAGGGGUUUUGCUUUUCAGCUGAACCAUGGGAAUGAGCAGCGUGCAGCCUCCUAACCUGAUGCAUGGGGACACAGAAGUGGUCUGAAAACAAAGCUAAUGCAGGGCUGACAAGAAACCUGAAGCAUUUUUCCACUGCUUGUGCAAAGGAAACAAAAUGGAAAGGGAGAAGCCAUAGAAACUCAGGUCGGCAGAAGACUGAUGCCCUUCAACAUCAUGCACAGGAAGGCUGAGCACAGCUGGGACAGAAAGCACCUCUUGCUUCUCAGUGUUGAGGUACGCUGCAUAUUCUUCAGCCUGGCUCAAGAAGGAUUACCGCAACAAAAACAAGGUAUACAUCUGGGGAGAUAGUGGCUAGAUUUAUUCAGGCUUUUGGAAAGUUAAGGCCUCGUUCAAAUGCACACUUCUGUUUUGUUUUUUUCUGAGACAGUCAACAGUGUAAUCGCUCCAUGCGUUUUGAAUAACAUGAGAACCUCAGACUGACUCACUGUUUCCUAUUUCACUAGCUUGGGACAGGAUGCAAAGCUUAUAAACACAUUCCGUUUGAGUCUCUAUACAACGUGAAGGUCCUUGCUCAAGUUUACAAGCCCACAUUGUUUCAAAUCCCUAGAAUGACUCUUCAAGGUUCCGCCCAUACAUAAGCAGCUUUCUUCUCUCUGUCACUGUAUUUAUGCUUAAGAUUCUAUCUGACUGGUGAGAUAGAAAUAUCUACGUGUCAGUAACUCAAAAAAAGAGAAGGAAUGUGGAUCUCAAACUGAAUCCUUAGAAGAAUCUUGUUGUUUAGGAACACUCUGCAACUCCAGGUGAGGAGUUUACAAAGCCAAGGAGCAACCACAGCCAACAAAAACAUCCAAGAGCAGCUUUUACAUACAUUACUGAGACCUGAGUAAUUGCUCAAGACAGUGAACCAGCUAAUAAGGAAGCAGAAAUGCUAAAUCAUGGCUUGAAACAGUGAUUGAACACCUGGUGGGAAGGCAGGGCCAGCCCUGGGGAGCUCAGGUGCACGCAAUGUGCCUGAGUGACCAGGAGGGGUGGAGCCAGGAUCCACCUCUUCCCAGACCUCAUUUAAGGGUUGGCAGUGGGGUAUGGGUAUCUUGCUGGAGAUCCCUGUGUACCUGAGGCCUUCUCAAGCCUUGUUUUUCAACAUAAGUUAAUCCUGCUUGUGGGAGUUUAAAUAAACACACAGAUAAGUAAUAG